ACUUUAUACUGUAAAACUGCGAACGGCUCAUUAUAUCAGCAAUAAUUUAUUUGAUGAUUUCUUACUACAUGGAUAACUGUAGUAAUUCUAGAGCUAAUACAUGCGCAAAGUCCUAACUCGCGAGGGGAGGGAUGUAUUUAUUAGAUACAAAACCAAUGCGGGUUCUGCCCGCCAUUGUGUUGAAUCAUAGUAACUUAUCGAACGCCAUAGCCUUGUGCUGGGCGUAGAUCAUUCAAAUUUCUGCCCUAUCA
rnacentral:rRNA from 1 species